GACAGAGGGUGCAAACGUUGUUCAGAAUUACUGGGCGUAAAGCGCGUGUAGGCGGCCCUGCAAGUCGGGUGUGAAAUCCCACGGCUCAACCGUGGAAGUGCACUCGAAACUGCAGGGCUAGAGUCCUGGAGAGGAAGGUGGAAUGCUUGGUGUAGAGGUGAAAUUCGUAGAUAUCAAGCGGAACACCGGUGGCGAAGGCGGCCUUCUGGACAGUGACUGACGCUGAGACGCGAAAGCGUGGGGAGCAAACAGG
rnacentral:rRNA from 1 species